UCAAAAUCGCCGUUUUUAUUAUUUUUUUUGUGACGCUCAUGAUCGAGAUAGUGCACCAAAAUUUGGGAAUAAGUAGGUCAUGAGGUAACUAAGUACAAUCUCCAGGGGUGGAACGCUGCGUGGCCGAUAAAGGGUUGGGGGUAGGUGUGA
rnacentral:lncRNA from 1 species